UGAGUAACACGUGGGCAAUCUGCCCUGCACUUCGGGAUAAGCCUGGGAAACUGGGUCUAAUACCGGAUAGGACCUUUAGACGCAUGUCUUUUGGUGGAAAGCUUUUGCGGUGUGGGAUGGGCCCGCGGCCUAUCAGCUUGUUGGUGGGGUGAUGGCCUACCAAGGCGACGACGGGUAGCCGGCCUGAGAGGGUGUCCGGCCACACUGGGACUGAGAUACGGCCCAGACUCCUACGGGAGGCAGCAGUGGGGAAUAUUGCACAAUGGGCGCAAGCCUGAUGCAGCGACGCCGCGUGGGGGAUGACGGCCUUCGGGUUGUAAACCUCUUUCACCAUCGACGAAGGUUCGGGUUUUCUCGGAUUGACGGUAGGUGGAGAAGAAGCACCGGCCAACUACGUGCCAGCAGCCGCGGUAAUACGUAGGGUGCGAGCGUUGUCCGGAAUUACUGGGCGUAAAGAGCUCGUAGGUGGUUUGUCGCGUUGUUCGUGAAAUCUCACGGCUUAACUGUGAGCGUGCGGGCGAUACGGGCAGACUAGAGUACUGCAGGGGAGACUGGAAUUCCUGGUGUAGCGGUGGAAUGCGCAGAUAUCAGGAGGAACACCGGUGGCGAAGGCGGGUCUCUGGGCAGUAACUGACGCUGAGGAGCGAAAGCGUGGGGAGCGAACAGGAUUAGAUACCCUGGUAGUCCACGCCGUAAACGGUGGGUACUAGGUGUGGGUUUCCUUCCUUGGGAUCCGUGCCGUAGCUAACGCAUUAAGUACCCCGCCUGGGGGAGUACGGCCGCAAGGCUAAAACUCAAAAGGAAUUGACGGGGGGCCCGCACAA
rnacentral:rRNA from 1 species